rnacentral:rRNA from 1 species
GACGAACGCUGGCGGCGUGCCUAACACAUGCAAGUCGAACGGGGGUAAUUUCUUCGGAGAUUACUUAGUGGCGAACGGGUGAGUAACGCGUGAGAAACCUACCUUUCAGUGGGGGACAACAGUUGGAAACGACUGCUAAUACCGCAUGAUGUUAUUCGGGGGCAUCCCCGGAUAACCAAAGCUUUAUGUGCUGAAAGAUGGUCUCGCGUCUGAUUAGCUAGAUGGCGGGGUAACGGCCCACCAUGGCGACGAUCAGUAGCCGGUCUGAGAGGAUGAACGGCCACAUUGGGACUGAGAUACGGCCCAG